rnacentral:rRNA from 1 species
GACGAACGCUGGCGGCGUGCUUAACACAUGCAAGUCGAACGGAAAGGCCCUGCUUUUGUGGGGUGCUCGAGUGGCGAACGGGUGAGUAACACGUGAGUAACCUGCCCUUGACUUUGGGGUAACUUCAGGAAACUGGGGCUAAUACCGGAUAGGAGCUCCUGCUGCAUGGUGGGGGUUGGAAAGUUUCGGCGGUUGGGGAUGGACUCGCGGCUUAUCAGCUUGUUGGUGGGGUAGUGGCUUACCCAGGCUUUGACGGGUAGCCGGCCGGGGAGGGUGACCGGCCUCAUUGGGACUGAGAGACGGACCAGACGCCUAUGGGAGGCAGCAGGGGGGAAUAUGACACAAUGGUCGGAAGCCUGAGGCAGCGGCGCCGCGGGCGGGAAGACGGCCUUCGGGUUGUGAACCGCAGUCGCUUGUGACGAAGCGGGAGUGACGGUAAUGGGUAAAGAAGCACCGGCUAACUACGUG